AGUGGAAUUGCUGGGUGAUAUGGUAAGUUUAUGCUUAACUUUGUAAGAAACUGCCAAACUGUUUUCCAAAGCUGCAGUACCAUUUUAUACUCCUAUCAGCAUU
rnacentral:pre_miRNA from 1 species